UGAGGAAGAUUGGCCCUGAGCUAACAUCCGCGCCCAUCCUCCUCUACCUUAUAUGCGGGACGCCUGCCGCAGCAUAUGGCGUGACAACUGAUGUGCAGGUCUGUGCCUGGGAUCUGAACCUGCGAACCCUGGGCUGCU